AAAUCCGUCGAUUGUAAAAAUCGUGAGGGUUCAAGUCCCUCUAUCCCCAA
rnacentral:tRNA from 1 species